GCGUCAGUGGAAGGGUGGUCUAAACUGUUGGUUUCCAACCGAUAUGACCUGGGUUCGAAUCCCACAUUGUGCA